rnacentral:rRNA from 1 species
UACGUAGGCAGCGAGCGUUGUUCGGAGUUACUGGGCGUAAAGGGUGUGUAGGCGGCUGUUUAAGUUUGGUGUGAAAUCUCCCGGCUCAACUGGGAGGGUGCGCCGAAUACUGAAUGACUUGGAGUGCGGGAGAGGUGAGUGGAAUUCCUGGUGUAGCGGUGAAAUGCGUAGAUAUCAGGAGGAACACCUGCGGUGUAGACGGCUUUCUGGACCAUUGUUGACGCUGAGACACGAAAGCGUGGGUAGCAAACAGG